rnacentral:rRNA from 1 species
GAGAUGAGUUCUCCCUGAGACUUUAAGUCUCCUGAAGGAACGUUGAAGACGACGACGUUGAUAGGUCGGGUGUGUAAGCGCAGCGAUGCGUUGAGCUAACCGAUACUAAUGAACCGUGAGGCUUAACCUUACAACGCCGAAG